AACAAGGUCUCCGUUGGUGAACCAGCGGAGGGAUCAUUGCUGGAACGCGCCCCAGGCGCACCCAGAAACCCUUUGUGAACUUAUACCUUACUGUUGCCUCGGCGCUAGCUGGUCCUUCGGGGCCCCUCACCCUCGGGUGUUGAGACAGCCCGCCGGCGGCCAACCCAACUCUUGUUUUUACACUGAAACUCUGAGAAUAAAACAUAAAUGAAUCAAAACUUUCAACAACGGAUCUCUUGGUUCUGGCAUCGAUGAAGAACGCAGCGAAAUGCGAUAAGUAAUGUGAAUUGCAGAAUUCAGUGAAUCAUCGAAUCUUUGAACGCACAUUGCGCCCUCUGGUAUUCCGGAGGGCAUGCCUGUUCGAGCGUCAUUUCAACCCUCAAGCCUGGCUUGGUGAUGGGGCACUGCUUUUACCCAAGAGCAGGCCCUGAAAUUCAGUGGCGAGCUCGCCAGGACCCCGAGCGCAGUAGUUAAACCCUCGCUCUGGAAGGCCCUGGCGGUGCCCUGCCGUUAAACCCCCAACUUC
rnacentral:rRNA from 1 species